UACGUAGGGGGCAAGCGUUGUCCGGAUUUACUGGGCGUAAAGAGCGUGUAGGCGGCCAAACAGGUCCGUUGUGAAAACUCGAGGCUUAACCUCGAGAUGUCAUCGGAAACCAUUUGGCUAGAGUCCGGAAGAGGAAAGUGGAAUUCCUGGUGUAGCGGUGAAAUGCGCAGAUAUCAGGAAGAACACCAAUGGCGAAAGCAGCUUUCUGGGACGGUACUGACGCUGAGACGCGAAAGCGUGGGGAGCGAACAGG
rnacentral:rRNA from 1 species